rnacentral:rRNA from 1 species
CCUACGAGUAGCAGCAGUGAGGAAUAUUGGUCAAUGGGCGCGAGCCUGAACCAGCCAAGUAGCGUGAAGGAUGACUGCCCUACGGGUUGUACACUUCUUUUAUAAUGAAUAAAGUGAGGCACGUGUGCCUUUUUGUAUGUACUUUAUGAAUAAGGAUCGGCUAACUCCGUGCCAGCAGCCGCGGUAAUACGGAGGAUCCGAGCGUUAUCCGGAUUUAUUGGGUUUAAAGGGCGCGUAGAUGGGUUGUUAAGUCAGUUGUGAAAGUUUGCGGCUCAACCGUAAAAUUGCAAUUGAUACUGGCAGCCUUGAGUACAGUUGAGGUAGGCGGAAUGCGUGGUGUAGCGGUGAAAUGCUUAGAUAUCACGAAGAACUCCGAUUGCGAAGGCAGCUUACUAAACUGCCACUGACAUUGAUGCUCGAAAGUGUGGGUAUCAAACAGGAGUAGAGACCCUUGUAGUC